CGCCCCCAAACUCGGGUACUUGAAACCCUUAUUCAGUGCUUCACGAUAUCAAACAUUCAACAUAAAAUAAACUAAAACUUAGUAAAGUUAUUACAUCAAAGUGCUACUAAUCCCAGGUACGUAGACCUUUAAACCUUCAUUACAUGAUAAUUUAAUAUUUACAAACAUGUCAACUAACUAUUACAUCAACCUUCAGCUAUUCUACUAUUUUUCCUUUUCCCUUUUCUUUUCCAGACCCUUCCGCCCAAGUCUGCUCAGCUGAAAACAUUUAUAAAUAAACAAGUAUAAGCAUUUAAUUGCUCAGCAAGUAAUAGCAUUCUUAAAGGUUUAACAAGAAAUAAAUGUUUUCUUUGAAGCAUGCUUUGACAGUGAAUCAAAACUGUAAAGCAAUAAAUCUUGAAUCGUUCACAUUUCUGGAAUAUCAUAACAACAUUGAAUAACUGAGAGGUUUUAAGACCAUGAACAUAUUUUUCUUUUCUUGAAAAGGUUCAAUCAGAAAUAUUAUCAGAUGAACCGUCUUAUCUUACGAGCACGUAAGGUGAUCAAUCCUUUAUGCCAUGUAUUGAUCAAUACUAUCUUUUCCAGAACAAUUUUCAUGUUCUACAUCACCACUCCCAGAGUGCAAUAAAAAUAUCCCAUUUCUGGGUAUGUUCAUUCUCAGUUUUAGAUUCCAACUACAACAAUAUAGCUGGACAUCUUAAAUCAUGGCACAAUAAUAUUUCAAGACUUAAUAUAAAGAAUUUGAAAUAUUUUACAUCUGUGUCUGGCCAGAAGGAAUGGCUCAGACUUCUUUGCAACCUGUUCAAGCAUAUUGAAUUGCUUUUGAUAUACAUGAUAAGACAUUACUCAAUCUUUUGAAGCUGAUUGGAAUAAAAAGAUUAUUCAAUCUUAUAAUAUUCAUAAAUAAGGAAAGACAGUUCAGAAAUUAGAGAACCUGUCAACAUAUGAAUAAUCUCAUAAUACUUGCUCAUUAAAGAGUAAAAUUUAGAUACUUGCCUUGUUGAUGAACUAUGAAUAUAAAAAUUCAGCUUAACUUGUUCCCACAAAUCCUACAUAAUCAUAUUUCCAUUCACAAAUGCAUUAGCCAAGCAUUCGAGUCAUAUAACUUGCAUAUACACAUAUCACAUAGUCACAGUGAUCAUGUUUUUAGUUUAUAUAAAAUAUUUUUAUACAUUUUUCAAAUAUCUCAUCCAUGUUCUUAUAACAAUCAUUUCUUUCUUUUAUAGGGUCUGACAUAACCUUUUGUUCAAGAUUCUUCUAUGAUUUUAGUUUAUAUUUCUUUUCCAAGUUAUGUCAAGUUAAUUCUGUCGCGGAAUUUAGCAAUUCUUUGCGACACUAAUAGCCUAAACUUGGCUUAGUAACUUUAAAAGUCUAAUCAUAAUAACCAUUAUUUUAUAAUAAAUUAUGUGUUUUAGGUGUGACUAAAACUUGUUUGGAUAAUUUAUAGUUUUAAUCAUUUGUAGUUUCAAUUUUUUAUACUAAGAUGCUAAACAUUCUUGUUUACUAUUAAAAUGCCAAAACAUCCCUUUGAGGCUUUAAUAGUUUAAACAUGACUUAAUAAUUUUAAAUUAGAGGUUCAUCUAUGCUAGCUUUAUUUUAGAGUGUACUAACUCACUUAUACAAAACUUGGGUCCCUUAUAGAUGUGUUAAAACUAACAUGUUUUCACAGCAUACCAAAAUAUUACCAUUCAUGUUAAUAAACCACCCAACCAUAAACACUGCUGUAGCAGCUUCUGGGUUGUUGAAUAGGCCAAUUGUUGCUUUCUAUGGGCAGUAGCCCUUAUUGCUUACCCCAUGCCUUGACCAACCUUUAAUGCAUACACCUUUAAUUUGAUUAUAUAUAAUUAAGCCACAUUAAUAGCAUAAUCUGAUAAACAUAGGUUGGUUGAUUAUAAGCUAAGUAAAUCCCCAGGUAAUUGCUCCCAAAAUGGCUACUGCUGCUACCGUUAGGCAGCAGCCCUGCCCCUCUUCCCAUUUCUAAGUUAUAACUUAUUUACUCUAAUAUGCUAUAAUUUUGGAGGCAAUGCAGUUUGCAUACCUCUAUAUUUAGCAAAAUACUAAUCAAGUUGUAUAAACAUCUUAAUCAAGUCAACUGAGAGCUCAAAAGAAAGCCCCAGCCCUGCCCACUACAACUACUACUGCCACGGCUACUGUUAUAGGCAGCAAUCUUUAGCCUAACAUGGCUAUUUUUUUUCUAAUCUCAUGCUUCUAACCACAUGAUGAUUUACCUCCCUUUUUAAAUAUAUAAUAUAUAGCAAAAGAGAGUAUAUCUAGAAAUUAUAAAAUCUCUAUUUCAAGCUUGCUAGACAGCACAACUUAGCACUCAAAGUUGCCUUGAUAUACCAUUUUUUCAAUUUUUUUAUAUUAGCUUGAAUUUGUAUUUUCGUUUCACUCUAAUAUAUUUAAACUUACUAAUUAUCAUCACAUGAAAUACAGGAAUCAAUCCCCAAGCUUUAAUUCUAUCAAAUAAUCAAUUAUUAGGCAAAACAGUUCAUUGAAGAAUUUUAUCAAACACUUUACAGGCACUGUUUUGCAACACAAGUGCCAUUGCUUUUUAGUUUCUGUAAAUCCCCAAUUAAGCUCCCUUAUUACUCCACAGCCACUUAUCUCCUUGUGCCUAAAUUGUACUCAUAGCAGUUAAAUACUCAGCCACAUGCAUGUCAAGUAGUUGAUAAUCUAAUUAAUUUAUUUUCUUCAUAACAAGCAAUUCUUUUGAUAACCACAUAUUUAUACUAAAUAGAAAAAAAAAACCAACUGCUAAGCAUGCUAUCCUUAAAUGGUUUCACUGCUUCAUAAAAUUGGUAGCACACACUCCCAAUCAAACCCGUAGCAAUUUCCAUAACCAUCAAUUAGUUCAUACUAAACUUCUUAAAGUAAAUAUAUAUAGCAAAGAUGCAUUACCUUUCUAAGCCUUGAUUUUCGAAUUAGUUGGUUGUAACCCAAAAACUUCCGAGUUUCUCCCACUUGAUAGCAAAGCUUUCCCAAAACUAACAGAACAUAAAGCGUCCAGCAAGUUUUUCUUUUAAAAACAUAGACCCUUUUACUAGAAAAUGAACUGGAGAAGGACUAUAAUAUAUCUAGGUUCGGAUAUCUCUAUCAAAGAUUUCCACUUAAAAGGAGUAUAUACGUGGUUAAUAUGUUGGUAGGCUAACUGAGUUAUUAAGGCUAGGUUUCUGAUUAAACUCCAGCUCAUGGAUCAAUUCCUGAUUAACAGCCACAUAUCCCACAUAAACUGAGUUUUAAUUUCUACUGUUAACUUUAAUUCCUAAGGUUGUGUUUGGCAAGAAAAAAAAACAAUUACCUCCCUUUCUAUACUUAUUGCACCACAUAUAAUGUAUUUUAGAUAUAACAAAAUGCAUUUUGUUAUAAAGUGAUUCCCUCAACAGGAGGGAUCACCCGUGCUCUCUCCC
rnacentral:lncRNA from 1 species